rnacentral:rRNA from 1 species
AGAGUUUGAUCCUGGCUCAGAACGAACGCUGGCGGCAGGCCUAACACAUGCAAGUCGAGCGCCCGCAAGGGAGCGGCAGACGGGUGAGUAACGCGUGGGAACGUGCCCUUUGGUUCGGAGUAUUCCCGGGAAACUGGGAGCAAAACCGGAUAAGCCCUUCGGGGGAAAGUUUACGCCAAAGGAUCGGCCCGCGUUAGAUUAGGUAGUUGGUGGGGUAACGGCCUACCAAGCCUACGAUCUAUAGCUGAUCUGAGAGGAUGAUCAGCCACACUGGGACUGAGACACGGCCCAGACUCCUACGGGAGGCAGCAGUGGGGAAUCUUGGACAAUGGGCGCAAGCCUGAUCCAGCCAUGCCGCGUGGAUGACUGAAGGCCCUAGGGUUGUAAAGUCCUUUCGACGGGGACGAUAAUGACGGUACCCGUAGAAGAAGCCCCGGCUAACUUCGUGCCAGCAGCCGCGGUAAUACGAAGGGGGCUAGCGUUGUUCGGAUUUACUGGGCGUAAAGGGCGCGUAGGCGGAUUUUUAAGUCAGGGGUGAAAUCCCGGAGCUCAACUCCGGAACUGCCUUCGAUACUGGAAGUCUGGAGCACGGUAGAGGUGAGUGGAAUUCCGAGUGUAGCGGUGAAAUGCGUAGA